GAUGAACGCUGGCGGCGUGCCUAAUACAUGCAAGUCGAGCGAAGCGGGGACGGGUGAGUAACACGUGGAUAACCUCCUAUAAGACUGGGAUAACUUCGGGAAACCGGAGUUAAACCCGUUACUUAUCGUUUGAUCCGCGCUGCAUUAGCUAGUUGGUAAGGUAACGGCUUACCAAGGCAACGAUGCAUAGCCGACCUGAGAGGGUGAUCGGCCACACUGGAACUGAGACACGGUCCAGACUCCUACGGGAGGCAGCAGUAGGGAAUAUUCCGCAAUGGGCGAAAGCCUGACGGAGCAACGCCGCGUGAGUGAUGAAGGUCUUCGGAUCGUAAAACACUGUUAUUAGGGAAGCGGUACCGAAUGAGAAAGCCACGGCUAACUACGUGCCAGCAGCCGCGGUAAUUC
rnacentral:rRNA from 1 species